rnacentral:rRNA from 1 species
GUUUACAACCAUACUACACUGCAUGUGCCUAAUCUUGUCUCAACUUGGAAGCUAAGCAGGGCUUGGGUCUGGUUGGUACUUGAAUGGGACAAAAGGGAGUAAAUGGAUGGGAGAACA